rnacentral:rRNA from 1 species
GUGCCAGCAGCCGCGGUAAUACGGAGGGUGCAAGCGUUAAUCGGAAUCACUGGGCGUAAAGCGUGCGUAGGCGGCCUGUCAAGUCAGGUGUGAAAGCCCUCGGCUUAACCGAGGAAUUGCACUUGAAACUGAUGGGCUGGAGUUCUGGAGAGGGUGGCGGAAUUCCCGGUGUAGGAGUGAAAUCCGUAGAUAUCGGGAGGAACACCAGUGGCGAAGGCGGCCACCUGGACAGUAACUGACGCUGAGGUAC